rnacentral:lncRNA from 1 species
CAUUAGUAAAUAAUUUAUUACAAUCUUUGUAUAGGAUUAAUCAUCAAUUAAAUUGAUAAUUAAACCCUUCAAUGAUUCAUAAUCGGCGAUCAGCUAUUUGAUCAGAUAGGUACUUCUAUGUGUGUGACCCCAUAGGUUCGAACCUAAAUUGAUAGCACAAGAAUAAUUCUUGUACUAAUUGAUGUAACUAUUUAGCAAUG